rnacentral:tRNA from 1 species
GACCCUAUCGUCCAGAGGCCUAGGACGCCGGCUUCUCAAGUCGGUAACAGAGGUUCGAAUCCUCUUGGGGUCG